GAAAUGCGAUAAGUAAUGUGAAUUGCAGAAUUCAGUGAAUCAUCGAAUCUUUGAACGCACCUUGCGCUCCUUGGUAUUCCUUGGAGCAUGCCUGUUUGAGUAUCAUGAAAUCUUCAAAGUAAAUCUUUUGUUAACUCAAUUGGUUUCUACUUUGGUAUUGGAGGUCUUUGCAGCUUCACACCUGCUCCUCUUUGUUCAUUAGCUGGAUCUCAGUGUUAUGCUUGGUUCCACUCGUCGUGAUAAGUUAUCUAUCGCUGAGGACACUGUAAAAGGUGGCCAAGGUAAAUGCAGAUGAGCCGCUUCUAAUAGUCCAUUGACUUGGACAAUACUUUUAUGAUCUGAUCUCAAAUCAGGUAGGACUACCCGCUGAACUUAAGC
rnacentral:misc_RNA from 1 species